UACGUAGGGGGCAAGCGUUGUCCGGAAUCACUGGGCGUAAAGCGUCUGUAGGUGGUUUAAAAAGUCCAAUGUUAAAAAUUGAAGCUUAACUUCAAAGGUGCCUUGGAAACUUUUAAACUGGAGGAUGGUAGGGGUAGAGGGAAUUUCCAGUGGAGCGGUGAAAUGCGUAGAUAUUGGGAAGAACACCGGUGGCGAAGGCGGCCAUCUGGACCGGAACUGACGCUGAGGCGCGAAAGCCAGGGGAGCGAAUGGG
rnacentral:rRNA from 1 species